ensembl:misc_RNA
UUGACAGCCUUGGAAACUGAAGGGCUCUGAUUAUCCACAGAACAGGUACAAUAUGGCCAGUGGCAGUAGAAAUCAUUUCUACCUGCCAGUUCACCGCAGACAGGUUUCUUAGGAACCUCAUGGGAUAUAAAGGUUUUAAAGCUCUUUCCUGUUGAGUCUUUGGUAAGA